GUAGGUGAACCUGCGGAAGGAUCAUCAACAAAUCUAAAAAUUGGUAGCAGAGCGUAUGAUAAGGAAGUAGUAAAACACGACUUUAUCAUGCAAUCUCUAUCAUAUUUAACCAAUGUGAAUUGGAUAAUAUUUAUUUAUUAUCUUAAAUAAGUAGUAAUAAUAAUAGUAAUGUGACUUUUUUUUGAAAAGAAAAGAGUAACAUUUAUUAUUAUUGUUAUAUAUUAACGAGUAUUUUUAAAAGAGUCUGAAA
rnacentral:misc_RNA from 1 species